UUUCAUACUGAAGCAUCGUCUAC
rnacentral:piRNA from 1 species